CUUCUCGUUCUAAAAUUUAUAUAUAAAUUAAUGUCUGCAUACCUAUUAAUAACACAUCGCGUCAUUCAAACAUAUAAAUAUCAAUGAUAAUUUUUUCCAAACUAAUCUGAACAGUUUACCCGCGGAUUACUGUUUUCGAUUAUGAGAUAAGGAAUUUUAUUAUUGUCGAUUAUGCGAGUGUUUUAUUUAAUCGCGUGCGUUUUAAAGCGUUAAAAAGUUUUAAAGUUUUUUCGGUUUUAGUUAUGAGUCUUACAACAUCAGUCGUUACACUUGGACGAAAGGAAAUUAAAACUUUUGUGAUGUAAUGUAAAUAAGAAAACCCGAUUGAUUUGAUGUGAAAUGCUGUAAUGAUAUUAUAAAAUGCACACACAGCUAUAAAAUAAUGAAAAAAACAUGGGAGAUGUCUGUUGUAUGUUUUCAUUAAACAUUUUCUUUGUUAAGGAAUAAUGCAGUUACUACUUCGGUACUAAUGAUUAACUAAUAAAAACAAACACAACUAUAAACUAAAGAAAACAUGGGAGAGAGCUGUUGAAUGUUUUCGUUGCACUUUAUUCUUUGGAAUGGAAUAGAAUUCAACGUGUUAUUGGUGCUAAUGAUAAUAUUCAAAUCAAACCCAGCUAUAAAAUAAAGAAAACUUGGUAUGUAUUUAUACAAUAUUUAACGCUCAAGUUCCUCUAUGAUAUAAAUGUCUUUGUAAAAUAUCUUAAACUAUAUAUUGUUUAUUUUGCUCAUAGUGGGUUGCAGAUUAAUGAAUUAACGAAUGCUCAAACACCAGUGUAGUACUGUUGUACCCAAGAGCUUGGUUAUUAUUACACUUUUCUCCUAAUAUUAUAAGAAAAAUCUUGGUAUAGUUUAUUUAU
rnacentral:misc_RNA from 1 species